rnacentral:rRNA from 1 species
UGGGGAAUAUUGGACAAUGGGCGCAAGCCUGAUCCAGCCAUGCCGCGUGAGUGAUGAAGGCCCUAGGGUUGUAAAGCUCUUUCACCGGUGAAGAUAAUGACGGUAACCGGAGAAGAAGCCCCGGCUAACUUCGUGCCAGCAGCCGCGGUAAUACGAAGGGGGCUAGCGUUGUUCGGAUUUACUGGGCGUAAAGCGCACGUAGGCGGACUUUUAAGUCAGGGGUGAAAUCCCGGGGCUCAACCCCGGAACUGCCUUUGAUACUGGAAGUCUUGAGUAUGGUAGAGGUGAGUGGAAUUCCGAGUGUAGAGGUGAAAUUCGUAGGUAUUCGGAGGAACACCAGUGGCGAAGGCGGCUCACUGGACCAUUACUGACGCUGAGGUGCGAAAGCGUGGGGAGCAAACAGG